rnacentral:rRNA from 1 species
AGAGUUUGAUUAUGGCUCAGGAUGAACGCUGGCGGCGUGUCUAACACAUGCAAGUCGAACGGAGUUAUAAGACGGAAGUUUCGGAUGGAAGGCUUAUAGCUUAGUGGCGGACGGGUGAGUAACGCGUGAGCAAUCUGCCCUUCGGUGGGGGACAACAGCUGGAAACGGCUGCUAAUACCGCAUAAUGCAACGAGAUCGCAUGGUUUUGUUGCCAAAGAUUUAUUGCCGAAGGAUGAGCUCGCGUCUGAUUAGCUAGUUGGUGAGGUAACGGCCCACCAAGGCGACGAUCAGUAGCCGGACUGAGAGGUUGAACGGCCACAUUGGGACUGAGAUACGGCCCAGACUCCUACGGGAGGCAGCAGUGAAGAAUAUUGCACAAUGGAGGAAACUCUGAAUGCAGCAACGCCGCGUGAAGGAUGAAGGUUUUCGGAUUGUAAACUUCUUUUAUCGGGGACGAAACAAAUGACGGUACCCGAGGAAUAAGCCACGGCUAACUACGUGCCAGCAGCUGC